ensembl:lincRNA Gm16267 predicted gene 16267
UAGUUCAUGGUCGGUGUGAGGCUAAGGGUGGCAGGCAGUUUUCUGUUUGGCUUCUUUUAAGUGAACAGACUAGACUAGUCGCUACCGCCGGAGGGUUAAUCGUUCUUCGGUGCUGUUGUCUCAGGAGAGUUUAGGCCAGGGUCUUCCUCAGCGUGAUCAGAUGUCAGACACGGAAGCUGUUGUUUUGGGGAAGAAGUGUUUUCAUGAUGAUCAGCUAUCAGCUGAACAGAACUACAGCUAUGAUUGAAAACACAUACACAAGGGUUUCAGGAAAUUAGACUCCAAAACUAGAGGGCUCAAGAGCAUGAAUGUCUGAAAAUACAAAACAAAACAACAACAACAACAACAACAAAAAAGCGCAGUCUUGAUGAACACAAAAGUACCUGAAACCACUUCUGUCCACAGAGAACACUUUUACUCAUAGGCAAAUGGAAGGGCACCUGAGGACCAGCCCGGAGCAGAACUCAUGUUACACAAACACAGACCUGGAAAUUCCUGCUUGGAACAAGAAACAAUGACCCAGUAAAGGCAGAGGGCUGGAGAUUGUGCUGGGACCACCAAAAGGAGAAACUUCAGUGUCUCUAUAAUGUGGUUGUAACUGAGUGUUACGGAGUCUUGAAAAACUCAUCUUUCUCACCUUGGAUCAGCACAGCCUUAAUGUUAAGAUUUCCUCUUGAAAGAACUGUUCUUUGUUUUGAGACAGGAUUGCAUGUAUCCCAGGCUGACCUUGAACUCAUGUG